rnacentral:tRNA from 1 species
GGCGCCAUCGUCUAGAGGCCUAGGAUACGUGGUUCUCAGCCAUGAGACCGGGGUUCGAAUCCCCGUGGCGCUACCA